rnacentral:rRNA from 1 species
UACGGAGGAUGCGAGCGUUAUCCGGAUUUAUUGGGUUUAAAGGGUGCGUAGGCGGGCUGUUAAGUCAGCGGUCAAAUGUCGGGGCUCAACCCCGGCCUGCCGUUGAAACUGGCGGCCUCGAGUGGGCGAGAAGUAUGCGGAAUGCGUGGUGUAGCGGUGAAAUGCAUAGAUAUCACGCAGAACUCCGAUUGCGAAGGCAGCAUACCGGCGCCCGACUGACGCUGAAGCACGAAAGCGUGGGUAUCGAACAGG